CAGGCCUAACACAUGCAAGUCGAGCGGACUUGAUGAAGUGCUUGCACUUCUGAUGGUUAGCGGCGAACGGGUGGGUAACGCGUAGGCAACCUGCCCUCAAGACUGGGAUAACUACCGGAAACGGUAGCUAAUACCGGAUAAUUUAUUCUACCGCAUGGCGGGAUAAUGAAAGGCGGAGCAAUCUGUCGCUUGAGGAUGGGCCUGCGGCGCAUUAGCUAGUUGGUGAGGUAACGGCUCACCAAGGCGACGAUGCGUAGCCGACCUGAGAGGGUGAACGGCCACACUGGGACUGAGACACGGCCCAGACUCCUACGGGAGGCAGUAGUAGGGAAUCUUCCGCAAUGGACGCAAGUCUGACGGAGCAACGCCGCGUGAGUGAUGAAGGUUUUCGGAUCGUAAAGCUCUGUUGCCAGUGAAGAACGCCGACGAGAGUAACUGCUCUUCGGGUGACGGUACCUGAGAAGAAAGCCCCUGCUAACUACGUGCCAGCAGCCGGGGUAAUAAU
rnacentral:rRNA from 1 species